GAUGAACGCUAGCGGCAGGCUUAAUACAUGCAAGUCGAGGGGCAGCACGGGUAGCAAUACCUGGUGGCGACCGGCAAACGGGUGCGGAACACGUACGCAACCUUCCCAUAACUGGUGAAUAGCCCUCCGAAAGGAGGAUUAAUACACCGUAACUUAACGAAGUGGCAUCACUUUGUUAAUAUAGGCUUCGGCCGGUUUUGGAUGGGCGUGCGCCUGAUUAGGUAGUUGACGGGGUAACGGCCCACCAAGCCUGCGAUCAGUAACUGGUGUGAGAGCACGACCAGUCACACGGGCACUGAGACACAGGCCCGACUCCUACGGGAGGCAGCAGUAAGGAAUAUUGGUCAAUGGACGAAAGUCUGAACCAGCCAUGCCGCGUGAAGGAUUAAGGCCCUCUGGGUUGUAAACUUCUUUUAUCUGGGACGAAAAAAGGGUAUUCUUACUCACUUGACGGUACCAGAGGAAUAAGCACCGGCUAACUCCGUG
rnacentral:rRNA from 1 species